rnacentral:lncRNA from 1 species
UUCCCCUCAGACCCAAAUUUUGCGAAACAACAACGGUGUGGAAGGUCGCUGAUUACGACCACUCAGCCGGAAAAUGGUGGGUGAUAACCGAUGGGGUUAAAGGGAACCCAGGUGCCAACACUUUGACCAGUUGGUUUAGAAUAGAGAAGACGACUACUGAUUUUGAUUACACAUUUAAGUACUGCCCCGCAGUAUGUGGAACAUGCCCAGCCUUAUGCAACAAAAUUGUGAGAGACUUUGAUGGAGAAAUGGUACGUUUGGCUCUCACCACUGGCCAUGGAUGGCCAUUUAUCUUUAAGAAAGUUGGAAAAUCAGCCAUGGAGAUUGAACAAGUUGUUCAUAAUUAGAUUGAAAGCAAUCAUUAUGCAUGAACUAGUAGUUACUACAUAAUAUUAGCUUCAAGUAAAUAAUGCUGAGGGAACUUAUUGUUAAGAUUGCCUUGUUUGAAGCGGCAGCAUGUAUAUAUAUAUGCUUGCUUACAAGGUUUGUCUCUCAGAGUCCUCCUCUUUGUACUCUUUUCAGCUUAAUGAAUAAACUGUUUACUUAUUUACUUCUUUUGUUGCCAUUGAUUCUAGUAGCAUUCGACUCAUUAACUUGGAUACAUUACCUUGUAAUUAACCAAAAAGUUAUGUGUAUAUAUAUAAAGAGUGUGUGAGAGAAAAAAUAAAAUACCAAGUACCAAGUGAAAAAUGUUAAUACUAGGAUUAUUCAAAGCGAUUUCAAUGAACAGAAAUGGAAUAGUCGUCGGGUGGUUAGGACAUUUUAUCUUUAGAGAUAAAGAAGGUUGGUUCAUGUUCGGAGUUUGUGGCCACUCCUUCAAUAAUAUCGUUUUUAAAGUUUAAACUUGUAUCACAUUUUAAACACGUAAUGUAUCUUACCAUUACAUCCAACAAUAUUAACCAUUUACUCUAUUGUAUUGUAUUGUAUUCUAUUAUUAAUUAAUGAUUAUGAUAUGUAUUAAGUUUAAGAUGAAUUUUCUCAGUAAUGUAUAUCAAUGAAAUCAAAUAUUUGUAUUUAAAGUUUUAACUCCACAUUAACUUUUUUUUUAUUUUGUCCGUUUGCUGGCGAUGAUUAGGAGAUUAAUGGUUGGUAUUUGUGGUUAGUAGCUUAUAACUCGAGGGUUGAUAGUGGCCCGACUCCACUUAAAUAAAAAAUUUUACAUUUAAAUUUCUUUAUAAUUUAUAAAAUUUUAAAUUAAUAAUAAAAAAUUAUAUUUUAACUCUCUAAAAUUAAUAAAAAUGAUAAAAAUGUAGAAGUAAAUUUAUACAAUUAAUGAUAAUAAUGAUAAGAAGUUGUUUCCUAUCACAUGGAAAUUUAUGGCAUCGUCCAUUUGGUUUUAUAUUUGUCCAUUUGCUUGGUUAAGAGUUGAAAGACAAACUAUAAUUAAAUAUACAAAACCAAACGAAUUUCAAGGGUUUUCUCUUCAAUUAUUGUCGAAUUUAGCUAAUUAUUAGUAAUUUUUAUUAUUUAAUUAUAAAAAUUAUAAAAUAGUGACUUAAUUAUAAAUAUAUAUAUAUAUAUAAAAUAGCCAUCUAAUUAUUUAAUUUUUUUCUUUUUUAUCAUCACAGGAUUAAUGGUGGUAAUUUUUAUAAUUGACAUAAUAGUAACUUUAACCAUUAAUAAUUAUACAUUAUGUCAAUUUAGUCUUGAUUCUAAAAAAUUUAACCUUUGACAUUUACACAUAUAUAAUUUGAUAUUUUUAUAAUUUUAUUUUUUACUAAAAAUAAAUCAUGAAAAUAAUAAAAUAUGCAUAAAAAUAAAAAUACAGCUACCGAGUAUAUGUCUUAUUGUAGAUUUAUAACAAUUAUCUUUUCAUAAAGAUAUUUUAUUAUAAAAUAUAUAAUAAGCACUUCCCUGUAACAAAUAAAAUUGUAGUAAACAAAUGAAAUUAUUAUAAAGAAGAAUUUUCUAUUUUCAUAAUAAUAAUAAUAAUAAUAAAAGAAAAGAAAAAAGUGGUUCUAUUAAUUCACCUCACAUUUGAAAUAUGUUAUAUGUAAUAAUAUUAAUGUCUUUAUCAAUUUUGGUGGUUCAUCCUUUCCCAUCUCUAUAAAUUUGCAUGCAGAACUAAAGCAACACAUAUCAACACAAUCUGUAUAACCAUGAAAACCACAACAGCUUCGGUGUUUCUUCUUUUCAUCAUCUUCUCAAUCACACCAUUGUCCUUUUCGUUUGGUGUGGCCAACACUACAAACGCUCCUGUGCUCGACAGUGAUGGCAACGAGCUCCGCACAGGCACCCCAUACUUCGUUGUGUCGUCGAUAUGGGGUGCUGGUGGUGGGGGGCUUGCCCUAGGCAUGCCUAGAGGAAAGCCAUGCCCGGAAGUCGUUGCUCAAAGAGGAUCCGGUGACGAUGGUAUUCCGGUGAUAUUUUCUAAUUCGGACUCCAACGAUGGCGUUGUUCGCCUAUCCUCUGACAUAAACAUAGAGUUCAUUCCCCUCAGACCCAGAUUUUGCCAAACAACAACGGUGUGGAAGGUCGAUGAUUACGACCACUCAGCCGGAAAAUGGUGGGUGAUAACCGAUGGGGUUAAAGGGAACCCAGGUGCCAACACUUUGACCAGUUGGUUUAGAAUAGAGAAGGCGGGUGAUCUUGAUUACCCAUUUAAGUACUGCCCCGCUGUAUGUGGAACAUGCCCAGCCUUAUGCAACAAAAUUACGAGAGACUCAGAUGGAGAAAUGAUACGUUUGGCUCUCUCCGCUGGCCAUGGAUGGCCAUUUUUCUUUAAGAAAUUUCAAACAUCAGCCAUGGAGAUUGAACAAGUUGUUCAUAAUUAGAUUGAAAGCAAUCAUUAUGCAUGAACUAGUAGUUACUAUACAAUAUUAGCUUCAAGUAAAUAAUGCUGGGAGAACUGAUUGUUAAGAUUGCCUUGUUUGAAGCAGCAGCAUGUAUAUAUAUAUGCUUGCUUACAAGGUUUGUCUCUCAGAGUCCUUCUCUUUGUACUCUUUUCAGCUUAAUAUAUAAACUGUCUACUUAUUUACUUCUUUUAUUGCCAUUGAUUCUAGUAGUAUUAGACUCAUUAACUUGGAUACAUUGUCUUGUAAGAGAUAGCUUAUCUCUUAACAACUGUUUGGGUCAACAAAAUUAAUGUAUAUAUGAAAACGAAUAUUGAAUUUGGAUGUCCAAUCAAUUUUUUUAAUUAAUUAAUUAAAAAGAAUUGUUUUAAUUCAAAAAAUCUAAAAGAAUUUGAUAAAAAAUGUGGAAGGGCACACUUGUAUGAUGAAUAGUAGUGAUAAUAAUGAUAGAAGUCGUUUUCCUAGCACAAGUAUGGGAUUCGUCCAUUUGGUUUUAUAUUUAUCCACUUGCCUGAGUGUUUAAGAGUUAAAAAGGACAAAACUAUUAAGUAGAAAACACCAAACGAAUUGGAAGGCUUUUGUCUUCUUCAAUUAGUAUGACCUAUAUUUCUUAUUAAACUUCGUAUUUUACAUUCAAUAUCAUCAUCGCAAUCAUUUUAAUUUAUUUUCAUGAAUAAACUUUUAUGUCCCAUUUUAAUUGAAUCAUUAAAAAUUAUUAAUUGAAUUUUUUUUAAGUCAAGUGAUACUAAUUUGAUUUUUUUAAAAAAGUUGUUUGAAUUAAUUUGAUUUCGUGUCAUAAUUGACAUAAAUGGCCAUUGUGAAUGGCAACAUCAAUAGUUAUUGAGUACAGCGGCUAAAAUUUUCAGUUAAAAAAAAAAGAAUGAAAGGAAAACAAAAAGAAAAACGUGGAAAGAAAGAAAGAAAGAAAGAAUAAUAAUAAUAAUAAUAAUAAUAAAUAAAAUAGAAUUGUGGGGGCGAUGCUUUUGAACAAAUCUUGAUUUAAACUAUAUAAAGAAAAUAUGUGUUAUAUAUAUAAUUAAUUAUGUACUUAUACUUAAUAUAUUAUAUAUCUAAUGUCAUAUUUUCAUAUUCUCAGGAAGUGGUGACAUACAAAUACUUGAUUCGAUUUAUUUCUUUAGCUCCCCGUGAAUUGUAUGUUUGUAACAUUAGGGAUAGAAUUUCUUCAAUUAUCCAAUUGACUGGACGUAUUGUGUCGAUUUUUUUUUAGUAAUAUACCUAGAAAUACCCGUUGAUUCUUUAUAAACGCUGUUUCGAACACAACUGGUACACUCUAAAAUAAUUUACUUGAACAUCAUUACUCUUAGCCAUGAACCUCCUUUGAGUUUUUAAUUCACCCAACUUUUUUAUUUUCCGAUCAAAAGCAAAGAAGAAAGGAAUGAAAAGAAAAGAAAGAAAUCAAAGUUGCUAACUCAAAACCAAAUCCUGAAAAUUUUCAUUUCAAUGAAUAUAGUAAGUAAAUAUAGAUUUAUAGUAAUAGCAAAUAAUAAGAAUUAAGUAAUAUAACGAUUUUUAAUUCUAUUUAGAAUCAAUUAAAAUAUUCAAAUAAAUAUUCAAUUAAAAUAAAUUAAACUGUAUAAAUUUUAUAAUUUUAAAUUAUUAUUUUUGUAUUAAUUUAAAAACAAAAUAAAUAUUAUAUACAAUGAUUUAGUUACAGCGUGUCAGCUUGAAGUCUAAGACUUUAUAACAUAUAAAUUUAAUAGAUAAUUAAUAACUAAAAAAUUAAAUAGCAAAAGCAUAAUUGCGCCACUUCUCACCAUUUUAAUGUAUGCAACUUAUUAUAUAUUUAUAUAUAUUAUCAUUUUAUUUUAAAUAAUUUAAUUUUAUAAAUUUAGGGAUAAAUCUCAAAAUUAUACAUGAACUUUAAUUUAAUAUGCAAUUGUAUAUAUAAACUUUAAUUUGGUACAAUUAUACACGUGAUACUUUAAUUGUGGUUUAAAUACUCACUUGAAACUUUAGUUUUGAUUUAAUAAUGCAUAUUUAAAUAAAUAAAUACAUCAAUUUUUUUAUAUUGGGUAAAUAUAAUUAUUUAUGUAUGCAAUAUAUAACAUAAAAUGAUGUUAUAUCAAUAAUUGUGUUAAUAAUUUUCAAGAAUUGGAUCAAAUCAAAAUUUCAUGUAUAAAAUUGAACAAAAUCAAAGUUAAUGUAUACAAUUGCACAUUAAACCAUAAUUCAUGUAUAUUUUUUUGUAUAUAUCCCAUAAAUUUAUUUCAUUAACUUUUUACCUAUAUCAUAUAUAGAGUUGUUCGUGAACCGAGCCAAGGAAUGCCUGCUCGAAAAAAUGAGAGGGUUUGGCAAAAAAAUAUAUGCCUAAAAAAUGGGCUUGGAUAAAAAGACAAGGCCCGUUUAGAAAAUGAACCGGCAUUGAGUAGGGUUUUUUUGUCCGGGCUCAGCCUAACCCGAAUUUUCAAUUAAAAAAAACCUUGUUGUUUUUGCUGCUAUUUUUCCAUAUCUUGGUGUUGUUUUCUCACUUUUUGCCGCUAUUUUACUACCAUUUCACUAUUAUGUUACUACUAUUUUUUUUAAUGUUUGGAUAUAGUAUAAUAAUUGUUUUAUUGUUAAUUUUAUCACUAUUUUAGAGACAUUUGUUUGUUAUGUUGUACUUAUUUUAGUUUUUAUUUAAGUAUAAAAAAAUUUAAAAUUUAUUUUCAAUUUAUUGAUAAACAUGUAAUUUAAUAUUUUCAGUGUAUUUAUUGUAUUAUAUUUGUUAAAUUUAUAUAAAAUUAAAAUUAAAAAAAUAUGGACCGAGAUGGGAGUUUAACAAAAAUUUAGGCCCAUUUUUCAAGUCGGGCCGAUCUCAAACCUAACAAUCGGACUUAAAAUUUUGUUAGAGCUCGGCCCAUCCCAUGAACAACUCUAAUUAUAUAUAUAUGUCAUUCUCUAAUAAUAAUAAUAAUAAUAAUAAUAAUAAGUGGAUAACAUAAAACUAGUAGUAAAGAGUAAGAAGACAAAGAAGAAUUAAGUGGAUAACAUAAAACGUGCGAAAACAUUUAUCUUCAAUUCUGACACAUAAAGCUAGUAUUUUUGGGUAAAGUAUAGAAAUGGUGAUUAAAUUAUUGUUGAUGUUCUAUUUUAAUUUUUAAUUUUUCUAUUUUAGUUAUUAAAUUAUUUGAAAUUAAAUUUUUUGGUUAUCAAAGGUUAACAGUAGUUUGAAAUUUAACAGAAAUAUUGAUGUGAACUUUUCUUAUUGAUUUAAUAAUAAAUUUAGCCUUCUAAUAUUUAUAUAUUCUAUUAAUUUGAUACUAAAUAUAAAAAUUUAACAAAUUUAACCUUCAAUAUUUACAAAUUUUGUUAUUUUAAUUCAAAUUCUAAAAAAAAUUUAAUAAAUUUAACCCUCAACAUUAAAAAAUUUGAUAAAUUUCAAUUUUUAAAAUUUUGUAAAUUCCUAAAAUAUAAAGCAUCAUUCUCCACCUCAUAGGAUUCCAUGUAAAUGGAUUUUCUUGAAUUCUUUACCAAGUUGUCUUGAGUUUAAUUUCUUCUUAUUUAGUUUGUGGAAUAAAUGGCAUAUAGUUAGAUGUCACUGCAGCUGACAAUGAAAGGUUUGACAAAGUUGAUAAAUUCAGAGCUUUUGAUGCUGAGCUUCAAAUCAGUCUUGCCUCCACUCACCCAAGAAAUCAACUUUACAAUUUUUAUUAAGUCUUAACUAGAUUAAUAUGAGUAUUGUUAUCAAUAUAGGAGAAAGUGAAUUUUAGUGCGUUGAAACACAUUAUCUUCUUAUUGAUGAAUUGAGGAGGGGCUAUGAAUAGUUUUAAAUAUUAUAUUAAAAAAGCAGAGAUAAUUGAAACCUACAAUAAUAUUGUUCAAAAAAAUUACCUAAAAACACGAAAUCUUACUCCCUGAAUUUUCUAGAAACACAAAUAUUUCUCCCUGCCUUUGAUGGUGUAUACAUGCAUGGCCAUGUGUGAGCUCCUGCAUUUUAACUAAUCAACACAGAUAAUACCCUCAAUGAGACAUUAAAAUUAACUUUUAUUUUUGUUUUUUCAUAAAUUUUAUAAUUUUGUAUUUCAAUGAAAAAAUCUAAAUCUAAGUUGAUCCGAGUCCAAAAAAAAAUCUGAAGCUGUAAAAAGUUUGAUCUGAGGCUGCUCAUUUGCCACCUCUAAUAACCAUUUGAUAGAGGUUUAAUAUAAAGGAAUUUAGAUUUUAGGAAUUUAUAAAAUUUUUAAAAUUAAUUUUUUAUUUGUAAAUACUAAGGGAUAAAUCUAUUGAAGUUUUUAAAAUUUGAACUGAAAUGUCAAAAUUUGUAAACAUUGAAGGCUAAAUUUGUUUAUUUUUUCUAUUUAAGACCAAUCUGAUAGAAUGUGUACACAUUAGAAGACUAAAUUUAUUAUUAGACCAAUAAAAAAAUGCCCAACUUAACGCUUUCUCAAAUUUCAAACCGAUGUUAAUAUUCAAUGACCAAAAUUUUUUAUUUCAAAUAGUUUAGUGACCAGAAUAGAAAAAAAAUUAAAAGUUUGAUGACCAAAAUAGAACGCGGAUAAUAAUUUAAUGAUAUUUUUAUACUUUAUCUGUUUUUUAUGAUUAUUUAUACAUAUCAAGUGGAGCUAAUUUAGGGAAAAGAAUCAAUGGUUAAGGUUGUUGUUGAUACUUAAUGAUCAGGGUCCAAAUUUUGCUAAUGUAAUUUUCCUUAUCAUAAUUUGUAUCUUAAUUUUGUUACCAAAAAAAUAUUAGUAAUAAAUAAUAUAUGCUCGAGAAAUGUACGUAUGAUUGAUUUAAACAAUACAUGUUGGAGUAAUUUACAUAUGGAUUUAAAAUAAAUUUUAAAAAUAAAAUAAAAUUUUAAAAAUCCAAAAGUAUUUUUUCUUUUAAAAAAAUUUAAAAAUAAUUUUUAAAUUAUUUACAUGAUUGAUUUAAAGGAUUUCUUUCUAUUAAUUAUUUUUAUAUUAAAUUUAUUUUCCUUUAUGUAUAACAUUUAAAGGGUUUGUAUAUAUGCUAACUCGCGAGUCAAUUAAAAUUUGUAUUAUAUUCAUUGAAUUUUUUUAAAAUAUAUAUUUUAUUAAUUUAUUUAUUUAUUUGAGACCCAUGAUAAACUUGUAUUUAAAGUUAUUGGUGCACACUAUAAAUUCAUAUAUUGAAAAUGAUAGGUGCUAAAAGUAACAUGUUUUAGUCUCAUUCUUAAUGUGUUUUUGGAUGAUUAUUCGAUAUAAAAUGGUUAAUUUUAUGCUACUAAACUUUUCAAUUUACGUUCUACACUUAAUAGAGCAUUUAGGAGCAAAAGAAGCGAAAAACGAGCGAAAAUAAAAAAAAUAGGAGCAAGUCUCAAAAGCCACACAGGCUGAGCCAUUCCACACGGGUUGGACACAUAACCGAGUGAGCCACACGACCAUGUGCUAGACUGUGUGGAAAUCGCAAAUUACACUCCAAACGGCGUGAAAACACGUUAAUUUUAAGGUUUUUUAAGCAUUUUAAUACCUAUACAUGACAAAGAUAAGAAGAGGGGAGAGAGUCGUCAGAAAAUAUUAAAGAAAACAACUUAAAAAACACCAUUGAAGCUAACUUUGAAGCAAAUUUUCAUCAAGAUUGAAGAUCUCAUUUUGAUUUUUUUGAAGUUUAUUAUGAGUUUCUUUAUUUAUUGUAGUUAUACUGUCUUUAGGAUGUUUUUAUUUGCUAUCAUGAACGAAUUUUCUAAAUACCUAGGGAGAUGAAUCCUAUCAUGAAUUAUGUUAUUUGAUUUCUAUUUUUACGUAAUAAAGACUUAGAUCUUAUUCUCAAUUAUGUGUGCUUAAUUCUUGGUUUAAUAUUUCUAGACUAUUAAUCAAUGUUUGAUGUGCUUAAAUCAGAGGAGGAAUAAACCCUAUUUAAGAGUAGAUCUAGCGUAAAUGAGUGGAGUUGCAUGCAAUCCUAGAAAUAGGACAACAUAAAUCUACCGUAAUAGAUCCAAAUCUAAUAGGGGAAUCUAUAGAUCGAGUUAAUACGAUGAUAGAGGUUUUAAUUAGAAAUAAAUUUCAGUUAAUUAACCUAGAGUCAGUUACUCUUAGUCUUGAAGAGAUAUAUUAGCAUAAUUUAGGGAUUUUUACAGAUCAAUAUUCUAAGUGACGAAGUUGUGUAAUAUAGAUUGAUAAUGACAUAUGAAGUCUAGGUAGAUUCUUUCCUAGGUAUUGUCUCGCUCUUGGUUAUUAUUUGAUUAUUUUCUUGAUUUGUGCUUUGUUGUGUUAUUUAGUUAACUAAUUUAGUUAAUUUUAGUUCCAACCAAUCACUCCAAUUUAUCAGUUAAAUAAUAGAAAAGACGGUAAUUACUGGUACUUUUAGUCUUUGUGAAAACGAUAUCUUUGCUCACUAUAACUAUACUAUUAAUUGAUGUGCACUUGUCUGAGUUAGAUUUUUAGUUGGUUUACGACUGCAAUCAAAAAACUCAUUAAGUUAGCACAAACUAAGUUAAUUAUUCGUUGGUUGCUUUAUUUUUUUUCCUGAAGUUUCGAUUUCAUCUUUCAUUAUGUACAACAAUUUUGGUAUAAAAAUAUCAAAUUCUCGACACUUAAUAUAUACCUUUGAAAUAUAAACACAUGCAUCAAUUUUUUUAGGUUCCUCACAACUUACUUGUCCAAAAUUCUUGUAUCUUUCAGUUCUCCUGAUUGAAUCAAAAUUUGACUUUGUAAUUAUUUUUUAAGGACCUCAAACUAUCAAUUUAUAGUAUAAAUUUUCAAUAGCUUUCAUUCUUUACAAAUUGGUCCCUAAUUAAUCAACAAUGGUAUUAAAGCUUAAGCUUAGGGUCCCGUUGUUUCACUGAAAAUGGCUUUCGAAAAAUAAUUUCUAGAAAAUGACUUACUUUCCUAGAAAAGUUAAUAUUUUCUGAUGUUUGGAUGAAUCAGUGUAAAAUAUUUUAUAUUGUUUGACAAAUUUCUUAAAAAUAUUUCAUAAAAGCUGUUUUCAAUGAAACAAACAUGCAUUUGAGAUUUUCUUAUCUUUUCAUUGUUUAAUUAAGUUUAUCUUAUAUCUAUAAAUUUAUAUUUUACAUUUUUUUGCAUAUAAUAAAAAUAUAUAUUUUUUAAUUCAGGUUCACUACCAUGUCACUUUUUAGUUACAUGACUACCAAGUGAGUAUUUUUUUUAUUUAAAAAUGUGACAUCAACAAAAUUGACAAAAAAAAAAUUUAGCAAUGUCAACAAUUGGACUUGAUUUUCAAAUCUGAAAAGUAGAGGGACUAAAUUCUUGAAAAUAAAAGUAUAGAGACUAAAUUGAAAAUUUGUGAAGAAUACAUAGACUUAUCACAUUUUUUAACUUUUAUACUACAAAAUAUUUAUCAUUAAUAUAUUUAUAAUUAUAAUAAAUAUUUAUUAUUAAAAUAUUAAUAUUAAAUAUUUUCAAUAAGAAGAAUAUUAUUUAAAAUUAUUUUUUUUAAUUUUUUAUUAAAAUAAAAUUGAAAUAUUAAAUAAUUUAUUAAAAUAAUUAAUUUUAUUAAUAAUUAAUUUUAUGACUAAAUAUAAAUAAUUAAAUAUGUGUGUUUAAUAAUAUUGAAAUAUAUAAUAUUUUAUAUUAAUAUUUUAAAUAUUUUUAAAAAUAAAAAUAAAAUUUAUUUUCAAUAUAAUAAUAUUAAUAUUGAUUUAAAUGAAUUUUUAUAUAAAAAUAAAAUUACCUAUAGAUGAGCUCUUUUCCAGAAAAUGACUUACACUUUUCAAAAGGAUAAGUCAUUUUAUAGGAAAAAGAGUUCAAUUUUACAUUGACCUGUAAGUCAUUUUCCGAUGACCAAAAUGUUUUCUGUAAAAUAAACAUAAGAAAAUGAAGAAAAUAUUUUCCGUAAAACCUUUUACAUGUAAACAAACGGACCCUUAAUUCAAGCUUGUUCUAACAUAACCCACUUCACUAUUAGCAUGACUCUUCCUUAUACUAUGUUUAACCAUUAACCCUUCUCAUGAUUUCUAACAAAAAUUCUCUAAGUUCUCUUUAAUGGAAACUUCUAUUAGCUUCAACAAUAAGAAAUUCUAACCAUUGGGUUGGUUGUAUCAAGUUUCAUAGUUUAAAAAACUAUAAAAAAAUUAUUUAGAAAACAAUUUGUUUACCUUUGAUGGCCUUGAUGGAGAACAACUUGGUUUCUUCUUCUACUUAGUUUAAAGAAUGCAUGAAGAAGAAGAAGAUUUCCCCUCUCCCUCUAUCUUAAAUAUAUAUAUAAAUAACCUAUUAAUCAAGGUAAUUAACUCACUAAUUAAUCUUAAUUAGUUAUGAUCUAAUGGCCAUAAACUUACCAUAAGAAAAUUAGUGGAAAUGUGUGGCAUUGAUAAUGGUUUGCCAAUAAUCAAACUUCGGGCAUGGUAAUAUUGCAAUCAGGUCCUUGGUUUAAUUACACUUUAAGUACUUGCUAAAUUCUCUAAUCAAUUCCCACUAGUUGGAUCACUUGAACAAUUGGGUCCAUGUAUUAUAGUUACAACUUAUCUAAUUUAAUCAAUUAAUGAUUUGACUUUAUAAUUUCAUGUGCAACACACAAACUCCUCCGGUAAAUUCUCAAGCUAGCUUUAUUUAAAAAUUUGGCCUCAAAACCAGCUUUCCAAAUGUUCAUGAAAAUUGAGUUGUUACAUUAUGGUAUUUGUUUUGUUCAGCUUAUUUGUCAAGCUCUAUUCCUUUGAACUUAUGUUCGUUGACUUUGGUGUUGCUUAAAUGAAAAUGUGGUGAACAAUAUUAUGGAUAGGAGGAGUGUAUGAUUGAGUAUGUGUAACACCCCUAACCCACAUCCUUCGCCAAAUUAAAGUGACAGAGUGUUAUUAUUCAAAACAGAACAUUCCAUGACAACACAUAAACAAUUAUGCAAAUUAUCACAAUCAUUAAUUAACCAUAUUAAAAUAUAACAUAAGUAUCCAUACGACCUUUAAAUCGAGCUUAUAUGGCCUUAAAAAUAGCUUGGGAUCAAUCUAGGAUCAAUUUGGAACAUAACAUAAAUUUUAAGAAAAAUCUAAAAAUUUUGGGAAACAUGGGUCACACAACCGUAUGUCCAGGCCGUGUGACAUAGCCCAGACCUUGUGGGAAUUCAAAAUCAGGACACUCAAUCAUGUCCUAGCCCGUAUGUCUACCUGUGUGAAUAUUUGAAAUAGGGUCCCACAGUCGUGUCGCGGCCAUGUGCUAAACCGUGUAUAUAUUCAAAUUAUGAACACAUGGCCGUGUCGCAAGCCAUGUGCUAGACCGUGCUCAAAACUAUUUUGAGACACACAGCUGUGCCUUAGGCUGUGUGAAAUUUUCACUUUAGACAACGACACACAGCCGUGUGCCAGACCAUGUACACCAAAAUGUACCUUAAAAAUCAAAUUUACCAAAACAUGUUUACUUAGGCAUCAAGCAACCUAAUUACCAUCAAUCAAACUCAUUCAAAACACAAUUAAACAGGUUCAAAACAUCCAUCCUAAGUGCCUAGCCAUUGUGCCCUCAUUGACAUCAUAAUUCAAUAAUCAAAUCAAUCACAUUUAAACCAAGAUUUAAACAUUCAAAUUAUAAAAUCAUCAUUAACCAUUCAUACCAAAACACUGAUCAUUUCAAGUCAUAAACACCUAGCAAUAUUCACAUACUUUAUAAAGCUUAACUACCAAUACCAAAUAAGAUCCAUACACACAUACAUACCAAACAAAACACAUAUUCACAAGUAUCAUUCAAGAUUUACAACUUUACAUGUAAUUAACAUAAUUUCAAGUCAAUUAUUACAUGUCAUACAACCCAAAACAAACACUAAACAAACUACCAAUAGUUUCUCGAAUAGUGUGAUUCUUGAAAUCAAAUUGAUCACCCGAAGCGUCAAAAAUAAAUCUACAAGAAAGCAUUGGAAGAGACACAAGAGUAAGCUUACUUAAGCUUAGUAAUUUCCAUGGAUUUAAACAAUCAACUUACCGGAUAAACUUAUCUAAUAUAGAGUAUAGAAAAGUCAUAAAUCAUAAUCAUGUCAUCCAUAAUCAGAUCACGAGUGAGUCUUAAACUUAAAUAUGAAUGAAUUAAUUCAAUCAAUUACAUUAUAUCACUAAAUUAUACCCGAUGAACGUUGCAAUGGAUUUGGAUACACAGUUAACCAACCAAACACUCCAAAUCACUCAAAUGAGCUAGCCAUCUGAAAGUACACAUGGGCACCAAGUGCCAAGCCCAUAGGCUAACAUCCCUCCGAAACACACCUUGUCACCAAGUGCCAAGCCCGUAAGCUUUACAUCUGCCCCAGAAACACACCUGAAGCACUGCAAUAUAACGUAAUAGUUCGCAACAAAUGUUGAACUUCAAUAUAUUCAAUAAACAUGAAUAAGAUCAGAAUCAUCAUCUCCACAUCCACCAAUCUCGUAAAGCGCACGAUAUAACUUAUUGACAUGCCAAUUGUAUCCUAUCAUACAUUCAUCGGCUCACAUAUUUGUCAUUUAACAACAUUUAAUACAAUUUCUUUCCCAAAUCAUUUCACUUACCACAAUUCAAUACUUCCAUGUCAUUUAAUAAUUUCAAUCCACAAGUAAUUAAAUAUUUAAAUUAUACUAAAAUUAAACUGUACAAACUCACUAGGGCCAAAUUGCAGAAACAACAAAAGUUCAGGGACUAAUCAACAACCUUCCCUUUUUCCACAAUUAUCAACUUGAUCUUGAUCUAUAAUAUAAUUUAUUUCAAUUAUUAGCCUCAAUUUUCAUAUUCUAAUCAUUUCAAAACAUAUGAUCUCUUAUUUAUAAAUUUACACAUUUAUCCCAAAUUUUUACAUAUUAUACAAUUUAAUCCCUAUGACCAAAUCAAGCUUAGUUCUACAAUUAAAUUCUCAAUCCAUAGAACUAAAUUUUAACCACAUCCAAAACAAUCCAUAUAUGCUAAAAUUUUCAAGAGUAACAUGUCUAUUUCAGUUAAAUCACUAAACAUCAAAUUUUGUAAAAAUCACUUACAAACUCAAUACAUAUGGUCACCAAGCUUCAACCCAAACUAUUUACUACUACAAAUCUUCGAAAAUUUCAAUACAUAAUUUCUAUACUUUGAUAACUUCACAAAUAAACUCCAAAACUAGCUAAAUUCCAUUAUCAAUAGCUCAAAACUUAAAAUUUGAUGAUGAAUAAACCAAGAAAAUACUUACAUGCAUUAAAAACUAACAAAAACCAAGAUCCAAGCCUUAGAACAAUGGUGUUUCGGCCAAACCUAAGAAAAAUAAAGAAGAUGACCACUACCCCACUUUUGUUUUACUUUCCUUUUAUUAUUAUAAUAAUCUUUAUUUAUGAAAUUAUAACAUUAUAAAACACCAAUUUAAUUUUUUUUCUCUCUUUACCGCCCAUAUUAACUAACUAUGGGCUAAUGGCAACAUAACCUCCCUUAGUUUACUAAUUUAAGCUAUUAUAUUAAAAUAAAUCUAUAAUAAGCAACUUUUCCACCUAUUACAUAUUAAUCUUUUUUCUUUAAUCAAUUCACUAUACGUUAAAUUUUCUAAACCAAAACUUAAUACGACACUGAUGACUUUGUAAAUAUUAAAUAAUUAAUAAUUCUAGACUGACACGUCGAAAGUGUAGUCCUAAAACUAUUAUUUUCGACACCACUGGAAAUCGAACUGUUAUAGUAUGAUUCUACCUCUUAGGGGGAGACGUAUUCUAGUUUCCUUUGACUUGUUUAGAUGAUGUGUUAAUCAUUUGCUACUGGUUUUGUCAAAAUGCCAAAUGGUGAGAUUGUUUCAAACUUUGUUCAUGUUCGAACAUUAGAUUAAACAAUGCUUAAUUUGAUGCAUUCAAAGAAUUUAUGUUGGCAUGUUUGACUUUAUAAUGAAAUGGCUUAUGAUUUAAUCUCGUUGAGUAGCAAAUGGGGAAGUGAUUUUGUGUUAUAACAUGUGAUGAUCAUUAUCUUUCAAUCAACUACCUUGAAGAAGAAUGGGAGGAGUUUGAACUUUUGUGGACUUUCGUAAUAUUUGAAGCUGCUAAGAUACUUGUUUAUAAAGACUUUUAUGAUAUAACUAAUCAAAAUAAUUCAUGUCAGAAUUUUUGGAGUUUUAAACUUAUGAAGACUCUAGUAUUGGCCUAUAAAUAGGCAUAAUUACCGCACAUUGAAAAUAGGCUUUUGGAGGGUUUAAGUUGGAUGCUUUGGUGAAUUUUUCCUGUGUUUUAUACAACACUCUUUUUUAAGUUUUUAUUGGGGGAUAUUUGCUUGAUUGUAAGUGAGAUAUUUUGGAGAGAGUGAUUUGUAAUAAUUUAGGUUCAAUAUUGAAGUUGCAAAUAACUACAAGGUAAUGGUAAUUUGGACUCUAGUCAAUAGUUAAUCAAGACGAAUUGUAAAUAAAAAUUAUUUUUUAAGUGAAACUUUACAGAAUAAAACUAGUGAACUCAAACUACGCUAACAAAUAUUAUAUACUAUCUUUCCUUACUUUACUCGUUGCUUUACCUUAUUUUAAAAUUGCUUUGUCAUAAAUGUAUUAUGUUUGACCCUUUCCGAUCGAAAUAAAAAAAUGAGAUUGAAAUUGUGAUAAAGCUAAAAAAAAGUUACAACAAAUAUGAUUAAUAUUAUUUUUAUAUAUACUUACUAAAAUUUAAAAAGGAAUUACAUUUAUCGAAUAUUAUUUUAUUUAAUAAAUAUAAUUAAUAUAUUUUAUAUAAAAUUUAAACUUUUUAUUAUUUGUUAGCUAAAUUUUAUUAUUUUUAUUUUCUUUAUGAAUAAAAUUAAUUUUCCUAAAAUUUGAGAUAAAAAAAUGUUAUAUAGAAAAUUAAAUUAGUAAAAAGUGCAGUUCAUACUUUAUAAUUAUUAUAAAUGAAAAAAUAUUAUAAAAGAUAAAUAUUAAACAUAAAAAAAUCAAUUCUAAAAUAAACUUAACUAUUAUAAUAAAAUAUUUUUAUAUAAAAAAGAAAUUAUAGAAAAGACUUACUGAUUAUAUUUCCAAUUUUCGACAUUCAUAAAAAAAAAGUGGUCCUAAUAAUUUAUUUAUACAAAAAAAAAAGUGGUCCUAUUAAUUAACCUCACAUUUGAAAUGUGUUAUAUGUAAUAAUAUUAAUAUCUUUAUCAAUUUUGGAGGUUCAUCCUUUCCCAUCUCUAUAAAUUCGCAUGGAGAAAUAAAGCAAUACAUCAACACAAUCUGUAUAACCAUGAAAACCACAACAGCUUCAGUGUUUCUUCUUUUCAUCAUCUUCUCAGUCACACCAUCAUCCUUUUUGUUUGGUGUAGCCAACGCUACAAACGAACCUGUACUCGACUUUGAUGGCAACGAGGUUCAAACAGGCACCCCAUAUUACGUUGUGUCGUACAUAUGGGGUGCUGGUGGUGGGGGGCUUGACCUAGGCAGGCCUAGUGGAAACCCAUGCCCGGAAGUCGUUGCUCAAAGAGGAUCCGGUGACAAUGGUAUUCCGGUGAUAUUUUCUAAUUCGGACUCCAACGAUGGCGUUGUUCGCCUAUCCUCUGACAUAAACAUAGAGUUCAUUUCCCUCAGACCCAAACUUUGCCGAACAACAACAGUGUGGAAGGUCGAUGAUUACGACCAUUCAGCCGGAAAAUGGUGGGUGAUAACCGAUGGGGUUAAAGGGAACCCAGGUGCCAACACUUUGACCAGUUGGUUUAGAAUAGAGAAGGUGGGUACUGAUUUUCAAUAUUACACAUUUAAGUACUGCCCCGCAGUAUGUGGAACAUGCCCAGCCUUAUGCAACCAAAUUGUGAGAGACUUUGAUGGAGAAAUGGUACGUUUGGCUCUCACCACUGGCCAUGGAUGGCCAUUUAUCUUUAAGAAAGUUGGAAAAUCAGCCAUGGAGAUUGAACAAGUUGUUCAUAAUUAGAUUGAAAGCAAUCAUUAUGCAUGAACUAGUAGUUACUACAUAAUAUUAGCUUCAAGUAAAUAAUGCUGAGGGAACUUAUUGUUAAGAUUGCCUUGUUUGAAGCGGCAGCAUGUAUAUAUAUAUGCUUGCUUACAAGGUUUGUCUCUCAGAGUCCUCCUCUUUGUACUCUUUUCAGCUUAAUGAAUAAACUGUUUACUUAUUUACUUCUUUUGUUGCCAUUGAUUCUAGUAGCAUUCGACUCAUUAACUUGGAUACAUUACCUUGUAAUUAACCAAAAAGUUAUGUGUAUAUAUAUAAAGAGUGUGUGAGAGAAAAAAUAGAAUACCAAGUACCAAGUGAAAAAUGUUAAUACUAGGAUUAUUCAAAGCGAUUUCAAUGAACAGAAAUGGAAUAGUCGUCGGGUGGUUAGGGCAUUUUAUCUUUAGAGAUAAAGAAGGUUGGUUCAUGUUCGGAGUUUGUGGCUACUCCUUCAAUAAUAUCGUUUUUAAAGUUUAAACUUGUAUCACAUUUUAAACACGUAAUGUAUCUUACCAUUACAUCCAACAAUAUUAACCAUUUACUCUAUUGUAUUGUAUUGUAUUCUAUUAUUAAUUAAUGAUUAUGAUAUGUAUUAAGUUUAAGAUGAAUUUUCUCAGUAAUAUAUAUCAAUGGAAUCAAAUAUUUGUAUUUAAAGUUUUAACUCCACAUUAACUUUUUCUUUAUUUUGUCCGUUUGCUGGCGAUGAUUAGGAGAUUAAUGGUUGGUAUUUGUGGUUAGUAGGUUAUAACUCAAUAGUGAACUCGAGGGUUGAUAGUGGCCCGACUCCACUUAAAUAAAAAAUUUUACAUUUAAAUCUCUUUAUAAUUUAUAAAAUUUUAAAUUAAUAAUAAAAAAAUUAUAUUUUAACUCUCUAAAAUUAAUAAAAAUGAUAAAAAUGUAGAAGUAAAUUUAUACAAUUAAUGAUAAUAAUGAUAAGAAGUUGUUUCCUGUCACAUGGAAAUUUAUGGCAUCGUCCAUUUGGUUUUAUAUUUGUCCAUUUGCUUGGUUAAGAGUUGAAAGACAAACUAUAAUUAAGUAUACAAAACCAAACGAAUUUCAAGGGUUUUCUCUUCAAUUAUUGUCGAAUUUAGCUAAUUAUUAGUAAUUUUUAUUAUUUAAUUAUAAAAAUUAUAAAAUAAUGACUUAAUUAUAAGAAUUAUAAAAUAGUGACUUAAUUAUAAAAAUAUAUAUAAAUAGCCAUCUAAUUAUUUAAUUUUUUUUCUUUUUUAUCAUCACCGGAUUAAUGGUGGUAAUUUUUAUAAUUGACAUAAUAGUAACUUUAACCAUUAAUAAUUAUACAUUAUGUCAAUUUAGUCUUGAUUCUAAAAAAUUUAACCUUUGACAUUUACACAUAUAUAAUUUGACAUUUUUAUAAUUUUAUUUUUUACUAAAAAUAAAUCAUGAAAAUAAUAAAAUAUGCAUAAAAAUAAAAAUACAGCUACCGAGUAUAUGUCUUAAUGUAGAUUUAUAACAAUUAUCUUUUCAUAAAGAUAUUUUAUUAUAAAAUAUAUAAUAAGCACUUCCCUGUAACAAAUAAAAUUGUAGUAAACAAAUGAAAUUAUUAUAAAGAAGAAUUUUCUAUUUUCAUAAUAAUAAUAAUAAUAAUAAUAAUAAAAGAAAAGAAAAAAGUGGUUCUAUUAAUUCACCUCACAUUUGAAAUGUGUUAUAUGUAAUAAUAUUAAUGUCUUUAUCAAUUUUGGUGGUUCAUCCUUUCCCAUCUCUAUAAACACUACACCAGAAUAGGUUUUUAGCGGCGUUUUUUAGGCCUUUAGCGACGCUUAUUAACGCCACUAAAUCUAUUUCCGGCACUUACAAAAAAAAGCCGCUAAAGAUCAUGUUCUUUAGCGGCGCUUAGGAAAAAACGCCGCAAAAAAUCAUGUUCUUUAGCGGCGCUUAGAAAAAAACGCCGCUAAAGAUCAUGUUCUUUAACGGCGCUUAGAAAAAAACGCCGCUAAAGAUCAUGUUCUUUAGCGGCGCUUUGGAAGAAAACACCUCUAAAAGUAAUGUUCUAUAGCGGCGCUUGUUCAAAAACGCCGCUAAAAGUAGUGUUCUUUAGCGUCGCUUGUUUCACAAACGCCACUGUUUUGAUAUGACUUUUAGCGGCGCUUUUUUAAAAAAUGUCACUAAUUUUGGGAUUUUUUUAAAAUAAAAUUUUCUGUUUUUUUCAGCCCUCCUGCAACAACAAAUCAAAAGCAACCAGAUCUAAACUAACCAAAAAUAAUAAAUUUAUAUAAUAUUUCAAAUUAAAUGAAUAAAAUAAUAUUAAUUGAUAUAAAUAAAAGUGAAUUUCAGACUUUUCUUUACAAAAACGUUAAAAGUAUUUAUGCAACAUACACUAUGACGGCGGAAGUUGCGACUGCUGAAACAUCUUCAUCAUAAUCUAAAGCUGCUGUUGAAGUUCGUCGUACUUUUUGCUCUACUUUGCUUCUCUCGAUGCCGCAUCUUUUUGAAGCCGUAGCUGUAGUUCUUCACAUUUCUUUUGAACCUCUGCUUCUAUCGCUGCUUAUCUCGCUACGGCAUCUGCUUCCCUCACUGCUGCCUCUGAUUUAAGUUGUUGCUGAAGUUCUUCAUAUUUCCUUUGAACCUCAAAUGUGGUCGCUUGCAUCUGAGUCAUCUAGUCUUUUAACCUCUGAACUUCAGCUUGAGACUGACUCCCCGAAGCCAUGUAUUGGUGCGAGCUGGAUCCAAAAUAUUGGGUUGGGCUGAUAAAAGAUCCUUGAAAUCGAACCCGACCAUACUUUUCAGGACCCAAAACUUUAGUAAUAAUCCGGUUAUCAAUGUCUUCAAGAUGAAUAGAACUAUCACUAGAAGCAAUCGUUUCGUACUCUGUCUUUUUUUCCUUCAGUUUUUCCUAAUAAAUAAAUCACAUAGUUAGGAACGCAAUAUAUAGUAAAAAAAACAAAUGCAAUAUAACAAUAGUCGCAUUACAAGCAAUGAAUUAAACCAUUAGAAAAUAAACACUAUAAAUAACUAAAACAAGUGAAAUCGUAUUAAGUAAACGUACCAUAAUUUCACCAGCUUCAGGAGUCAUAGCAGAUCCAUCUUUCUUCUUAUGUGUAAUUUCAAAAAGUUGAAGGCGUCCAACUUUUUGAUCGGACGACCGUUCCUACAACACUCUUUUUUAAGUUUUUAUUGGGGGAUAUUUGCUUGAUGUAAGUGAGAUAUUUUGGAGAGAGUGAUUUGUAAUAAUUUAGGUUCAAUAUUGAAGUUGCAAAUAACUAUAAGGUAAUGGUAAUUUAGACUUUAGUCAAUAGUUAAUCAAGACGAAUUGUAAAUAAAAAUUAUUUUUUAAGCGAAACUCUACAGAAUAAAACUAGUGAACUCAAACUACUGAACUCAAACUACGCUAACAAAUAUUACAUAUUAUCUUUCCUUACUUUACUUGUUGCUUUACCUUAUUUUAAAAUUGUUUUGUCAUAAAUGUAUUAUGUUUGAACCUUUCCGAUCGAAAUAAAAAAAAUGAGAUUGAAAUUGUGAUAAAGCUAAAAAAAGGUUACAACAAAUAUGAUUAAUAUUAUUUUUAUAUAUACUUAAUAAAAGUUAAAAAGGGAAUUACAUUUAUUGAAUAUUAUUUUAUUUAAUAAAAUAUAAUUACUAUAUUUUAUAUAAAAUUUAAAUAUUUUAUUGUUUGUUAGUUAAAUUUUAUUUUUUUUUAUUUUCUUUAUGAAUAAAAUUAAUUUUCCUAAAAUUUGAGAUAAAAAAUGUUAUAUAGAAAAUUAAAUUAGUAAAAAGUUAAAAAAAUCAAUUCUAAAAUAAACUUAACUAUUAUAAUAAAAUAUUUUUAUAUAAAAAAAAAGAAAUUAUAGAAAAGACUUAUUGAAUAUAUUUCCUAUUUUCGACAUUCAUAAAAAAAAAAAAGUGGUCCUAAUAAUUUUUUUAUACAAAACAAAAAAAAGUGGUCCUAUUAAUUUACCUCACAUUUGAAAUGUGUUAUAUGUAAUAAUAUUAAUAUCUUUAUCAAUUUUGGAGGUUCAUCCUUUCCCAUCUCUAUAAAUUUGCAUGCAGAACUAAAGCAACACAUAUCAACACAAUCUGUAUAACCAUGAAAACCACAACAGCUUCGGUGUUUCUUCUUUUCAUCAUCUUCUCAAUCACACCAUUGUCCUUUUCGUUUGGUGUGGCCAACACUUCAAACGCUCCUGUGCUCGACAGUGAUGGCAACGAGCUCCGCACAGGCACCCCAUACUUCGUUGUGUCGUCGAUAUGGGGUGCUGGUGGUGGGGGGCUUGCCCUAGGCAUGCCUAGAGGAAAGCCAUGCCCGGAAGUCGUUGCUCAAAGAGGAUCUGGUGACGAUGGUAUUCCGGUGAUAUUUUCUAAUUCGGACUCCAACGAUGGCGUUGUUCGCCUAUCCUCUGACAUAAACAUAGAGUUCAUUCCCCUCAGACCCAGAUUUUGCCAAACAACAACGGUGUGGAAGGUCGAUGAUUACGACCACUCAGCCGGAAAAUGGUGGGUGAUAACCGAUGGGGUUAAAGGGAACCCAGGUGCCAACACUUUGACCAGUUGGUUUAGAAUAGAGAAGGCGAGUCAUCUUGAUUACACAUUUAAGUACUGCCCCGCAGUAUGUGGAACAUGCCCGGCUUUAUGCAACAAAAUUGCGAGAGACUUAGAUGGAGAAAUGAUGCGUUUGGCUCUCUCCACUGACCAUGGAUGGCCAUUUUUCUUUAAGAAACUUCAAACAUCAGCCAUGGAGAUUGAACAAGUUGUUCAUAAUUAGAUUGAAAGCAAUCAUUAUGCAUGAACUAGUAGUUACUAUACAAUAUUAGCUUCAAGUAAAUAAUGCUGAGAGAACUGAUUGUUAAGAUUGCCUUGUUUGAAGCAGAAGCAUGCAUAUAUAUAUGCUUGCCUACAAGGUUUGUCUCUCAGAAUCCUCUUUGUACUCUUUUCAGCUUAAUAUAUAAACUGUCUACUUAUUUACUUCUUUUAUUAAUGUCAUUGAUUCUAGUAGUAUUAGACUCAUUAACUUGGAUACAUUGUCUUGUAAUUAACCCAAAAAUUAUAUAUAUAUCAAAAAAAAAAAUGAGAGUGAGAGAGGAAAAUAGACUACCAAGUAACAAGUGAAAAAUGGUAAUACUAGGGUUAUUUAGAGUGGUUUCAAUGCACAACCGGAAUGAAUUGUUACCUUAUCUUUAGAGUCAAAGAAGGGUUCGUGACUAGUCUUUCAACAAUACUAUUUUCAAGGUUCAAACCUGCAUUAUCCUUUAAAUACGUAAUGUAUUUUAUCAUUACGCUCAAUAUUAUUAGUGAUUUACUUUAUUCUAUUCUUAAUUAAUAAUUAUGAUAUAUAUAAAGUUUAAGAUGGAUUUUCUUAUUUAUGUAUAUCAAUUAAAUCAAAUAUUUGUAUUUAAAGUUUUAACCCAACAUUAACUUUUUUUUUAAAAAUUUCUUCGUUUGUUGGUGGUGAUUAGGAGAUUGAUGGCCGGUCUUUGUGAUUGGUAGCUUUUAACACAAUGGCGAAGCUAAGGAGGCUUUAAAUGUUUAAAUGAAUAUUUUUUUCAAUUGAAAUUUCUUUAUAAUUUAUAAAAUUUUAAAUUAAUAAUGAUAAAAUUACAUUUUAAUUUUUUAAAAAUGAUAAAAACGUGGAAGCACAUUUGUACGAUUAAUAAUAAUGAUAAUAUUUUUCCUACCACAUGGAAGUUUAUGGAAACACCAUUGGGUUUUGUAUUUAUGUUUUAUUCGACACUCUUAUAAGUUUUACUGGGGAGAUUUGUUUGAUUGUAAGUGAGGUAUUUUGCGGAGAGUGAUUUAUAAUAAUUUAAAAUUAAUAUUGGGGUUACAAAUAACUAUGGGAGUAAAGUAGUUUAGACUUUAGCUAAUAAUUGAUCAAGAUGGAUUGUAGAAUAAAAUCAUUUUCGAAGCAAAAUUUUAUAAAAUUAGUAAAUCUGAAUUAUUCUAUAAUAUUGAUAUUAUCUUUCUUCACUUUAGCCCUUGCUUCACCUUAUCUCAAAAUUAUUCUAUAAUAAUCUAUUUUGUCUCAACCUUUUCAACAGAAUUUAAAAUGAAACUAUUUCUAUGAAGUGCAAACCAAAAACUUUUUCACAUACCAAUAAAUGGCAAGCAACCAUACCGUGGGCCCAAUGUCCCAACAAUCAUCUAAACAUUUUUUUUUUCUUUUUUAAAUAAUAUGUAAUAAUUUAUAUACCAUAAAUGAAUAUUAAUUAAAAUAAUAUAAACAAAAUACGACUCUUUAAUAUAAUAUGGAUCCAAAAUGUUUCAUAUUUGAAAUGCAGUUUUUGAUAAUUUCACAUUUCAUAUUUUAUCUUAGAACAAAAAGAAAAUUUGAACUUAAUAUUUGGACUAUUGAUCAAUGGUGUUUAUUAUAUUUCAAGACUAUCAGAUUAAUCUGUCGAUACUACUUAUAUGGUAUGGUUUAAAUGGGUGUGUGUGGAUAUAGAAAUUUGAAAUUCUAUUGUAUCAAAGAAAUUUUUUUUAAAAAUAAAAUAAAAAGGAAUUUGAAAUUUAAAAUUUGAGAUCAAAAUAAAAAAAAUGAGACUUGUUAUAAACCAUAAGGCUCAAAAAAGGUUACAACAAAUAUGGUUAAUAUUAUUUUUAUAUAUACUUAAUAAAAGUUUAAAAUAUCAAAUUUGUAAUAUUAUUUUUAUUUAAUAAAAUAUAAUUAAUAUAUUUUAUAUAAAAUUUAAAUAUUUUAUUGAAAUAUUAUGUUAGGUAAAUUUUAUUAAUUUUAUUUUCUUUAUAAAUAAAAUUAAUUUUAUUAAAAUUUGAGAUAAGAUAAUUAAAUUAAUAAAAGGUAUACUUCAUAUUUUAUAGUUAUUAUAAAUAAAAAAUUAUUAUAAAAAUUAAAAAAAAAGAAUUCUACAACAUAAUGAAAUAUUUUUAUUAAAAAAAACAGAAAUGAUUGAUGGAAUAUAUUUCCAAUUUUCGACGUUCAUUAAAAAAAAAAGAGUGGUCCUAAUAAUUGAUUUAUUGGGGAAAAAAAAGUGGUCCUACUAAUUUACCUCACAUUUGAAAUGUGUUAUAUGUAAUAAUAUUAAUAUCUUUAUCAAUUUUGGAGGUUCAUCCUUUCCCAUCUCUAUAAAUUCGCAUCGAGAAAUAAAGCAAUACAUCAACGCAAUCUGUAUAACCAUGAAAACCACAACAGCUUCAGUGUUUCUUCUUUUCAUCAUCUUCUCAGUCACACCAUCAUCUUUUUUGUUUGGUGUAGCCAACGCUACAAACGAACCUGUACUCGACAUUGAUGGCAACGAGGUUCAAACAGGCACCCCAUAUUACGUUGUGUCGUCCAUAUGGGGUGCUGGUGGUGGGGGGCUUGCCCUAGGCAGGCCUAGCGGAAACCCAUGCCCGGAAGUCGUUGCUCAAAGACGAUCCGGUGACGAUGGUAUUCCGGUGAUAUUUUCUAAUUCGGACUCCAACGAUGGCGUUGUUCGCCUAUCCUCUGACAUAAACAUAGAGUUCAUUCCCCUCAGACCCAAACUUUGCCGAACAACAACGGUGUGGAAGGUCGAUGAUUACGACCAUUCAGCCGGAAAAUGGUGGGUGAUAACGGAUGGGGUUAAAGGGAACCCGGGUGCCAACACUUUGACCAGUUGGUUUAGGAUAGAGAAGGCGGGUGAUCUUGAUUACACAUUUAAGUACUGCCCUGCAGUAUGUGGAACAUGCCCAGCUUUAUGCAACAAAAUUACGAGAGACUCAGAUGGAGAAAUGGUACGUUUGGCUCUCUCCACUGGCAAUGGAUGGCCAUUUUACUUUAAGAAAGUUGGAAAAUCAGCCAUGGAGAUUCAACAAGUUGCUCGUAAUUAGAUUGAAAGCAAUCAUUAUGCAUGAACUAGUAGUUACUACAUAAUAUUAGCUUCAAGUAAAUAAUGCUGAGAGAACUUAUUGUUAAGAUUGCCUUGUUUGAAGCGGCAGCAUGUAUAUAUAUAUAUGCUUGCUUACAAGGUUAAUUUGUCUCUCAGAGUCCUCUUUGUACUCUUUUCAGCUUAAUGAAUAAACUGUUUACUUAUUUACUUCUUUUGUUGCCAUUGAUUCUAGUAGCAUUCGACUCAUUAACUUGGAUACAUUACCUUGUAAUUAACCAAAAAGUUAUGUAUAUAUAUAUAUAUAUCAAAACAAAACAAAAAAGAGAGUGAGAGAGGAAAAUAGACUACCAAGUACCAAGUGAAAAAUGGUAAUACUAAAUUUCCAGAUAUAUGGCAUUGUUUGUGUGUGACAAACACCAAGUAUAAAUAGGUGGAAGUAUGACUACUUAUCAAGAGUGGUAUGGUUCAAAAACUACCCCUAUCGAAUUAUUUCAUCCUACUCAUUCGUUAUCGAUAGGAAGAAGGAUACUUCCAACAAGAAAUAUUUUGAAGGGUUAGUGUUGAGUUAGCUAAAAAUCAAAGUUUAUCAGAAGCUCGAUCUAAAAUUCGCCAAAAGGAGGAUUAUUCAAAGCGAUUUCAAUAGACAACGGGAAUGGAAUAGUCUUUGAGUGGUUAGGGCACCUUAUCUUUUGAGAUAAAGAAGGGUUGGUCCAUGUUUGCAGUUCGUGACUAAUCCUUACAACAAUGUCGUUUUCAAGGAUUGAACAUGUGUCAUCCUUUGAACAUGUAAUGUGUCUUACAAUUACACCUAACAUUGUUGGUGAUUUACUUUAUUAUAUUCUUAAUUAAUAAUUAUGAUAUAUAGUAUGUUUAAGAUGCAUUUUCUUAUUCAUGUAUAUCAAUUGAAUCAAAUAUUUGUAUUUAAAAUUUUAACUCGACAUAUCGAAGGUCUGCUACUCUAGCACGUCUUUGGUCUGCUGCUCUAGCAUGUUUUGGUUUUUUUAGGGUUUUUUUGGCUUAUUUCUCUUUGUUCUAGCGAUGACAGUUCUUGGGAUAGAGUAUUUCUUUUCAAUCUGGUUGAUUUUGAUUCGUGGCAAUGGAGGAUGAAUUGGCAGAGUUAACAUUGGAAGAUGAGGAAUAGGAGAUUUUGCAAGUACAGAAGGAAACUGAUUCUGCGACAGUGGUUUAAGAUCUUUGUCUGGUUGGAUACUUUCUCACAACGAGUGUAAUCCACUUUAUGACAAUGAGAAGCGCGAUGGCAAAUCUAUGGCAUCCUCUUAGAGGAGUUCAGAUCUCUAAUUUGGGGGAUAAGAAAUUAUUUCAAUUUUUUCAUAAAAUGGAUAUUGAUAGGGUACUAAAUGGGGAUCCAUGGACUUUCAAUAAUCAUCUUUUGGUGAUUCAUUUUUUGGAGGAUGGUGAGGAUCCGAUGAAGGUACCGCUAAUCUAUACGACUUUUAAGGUGCAAGUGCAUGAUUUACCCCCAGGGUUUUUUACUGAAUCUAUAGCAAAGAAGUUAGGCAAUUUUAAGGGUAAGUUUUUUGGAUCAAUGGAAAAAGCUUGGGUAAGGGCCUCAGGAAUUUCUUACAUAUACGGGUUUAGAUGGAUGUUAGAUGCUAUUUGAAGCGAAAAAAGAAGAUUAUGUUUUCACUUGGCAAGUGUUCCUAUGUCAACUUGAUAUACGAAUGACUAACUCUAUUCUAUUUUGUCUAUGGUUGUUUGGUAGACAAUGACUCUUUCUGUCAAGUUAGAAUGGCUAAAGGCUUAGAAGUUGUAGAGAUGGGAUGGUAUCUGUCUCUAAAAGCCCAGUCUAGGAGAGCUACUACGAUGAACAGCGUGUGGCUGCGGGAGGAAGGUAAAGGUGAGAUAAAGGGAAAUACCAUAGGACAUUUUGAUUUAGGGUAGGGAUUGUGGAAGGAUGGAAGGAAAGAAUCUAGGAUGCCCAUAGAUCUGUGUUGGGGUUAAAUUUGGAGGGUGGUUUGAAGUUAGUGUCGGGUAUGCAAGGGAACUCUUCAACGAUACAAGAUCAUUCGAAUAUGGAUCACGACUCAGAGGAAUGCGCUAUAAAAGGUAAAGAUGGGAAAAAAAGACCCAAAAAGGAUAAUGGAAAUCAUAGUGUUUCGAUUGUGACAGAUUCACUUGUGAUUAGAGAUGAGAGAUUGUUGGGACGAACUCACUUUUUAUCGGCAGCUGCCAAGGGGCAAGAUGAUCAGUCACAAUAAAAAUAAUUAGUUGGAACAUCCGUUGAUUGGGGUGUCCACAGGCUAUAAGAAGGCUUUGACAUAUGUUGAAGGUGUAUAAUCCCCAAGUGGUCUUCUUUAUGGAGACAAAAAUUAGUAAUGUGCAAAUAGAGAAUGUGCAUAGAAGGUGUGGAUUUUUAAAUGGUAUUGAUGUUUCGGCCGAUGGUUCAAGAGGAGGUCAUUUUCUAGCUUGGAAGGAAAAUGUUAAAACGAAUCUAAUGAGUUAUUCUAGUAGUCAUGUAGAUGUUGUAUUUUAGAAGAUUGAUAAUGGAGGUUUGCUGGCUUUUAUGGGACAUCAAAUGCGUGUAGCAGAGACGAUUCAUGGAAUUUGUUAAGAAAUCUAGGACGCUCUCAAGCGUUCCCUUGGCUAGUGUGUGACAAUUUUAAUGAAAUUAUAUACUCUUUUGAAAAGGUUGGGGUGCCAAGAGAGGAGAAGAGAAUAGAGGUCUUUUGAGGAGUCUUAUAGGAAUGUUAGUUAAUGGACAUUGGAUACUUUAGGGCUAGGUUUACCUGGGAAAGGGGAAACUUACCGAAAACGAAUAUGAGAGAGCGACUGGAUAGAGGAGUGGCGAAUGCCGAAUGGAUGAACAUGUUUUCUAGUGCAGUGGUUUAGCAUUUACCACAUUCUUUUCCAGAUCAUUGUCCCCUUUUUAAUCAUACGGAGCAGGAGAGUAAUAGGUUGAGGCAGAAAAGGUUUCAGUCCGAGGCAUGGUGGGUGAUGUAAGAAUCUUUUGAGGAGGAGGUUAAACAAAUAUGUCAAUCUACUUCGGGUGAUAUGUUGGCUAAGCUAGAAGGUGUGAGGAAGGGCUUAGUGAGAUGGGCGGGUUUUGUUAGAAAUAAAAGAGAGGGCCUUAAAAGGAAUUUGACUAGAAAAUUGGAGGAGAUGAUGGGAAAGGAUAGAGAUGAUGAGAAUAUUGUUGAACUAUCUUAAAAUUCUCUUGUCAUAACUUGAAGUUUGUGUCAUUUAAUAUAAGAAUACAAUUAAUGCCUGCAAUAAUGUUGGCAGGUAUAAUUAUUGUUGUAUCAAACAAAACAAUCUCAUGUAUGACUUCAAAUAUAAAACAAAAUAAUAAUUAAUUCGAAUAAAGGUAAACCCUAAGAUACCAAUCACUCCAUUAAUAUUUCAUUUUUGAACAAAUAUAUUAAGUUGUAAAUGAUAUCUUGGUGUAGUAAUUAAACACCGACAAUAAGCGUCACAUGUUUAUUACAACAGUUGCAAAUGUAAUUUUGUUAAAUAUUAGCCUCCAUUUAGGCCAGUCAAUAUUAACAUAACUUAAGUUACAUACACACAACCCCAAAAUUAUAAAAGUCCUAUUGUUAAAUUGAUUUGGUUCCUUUGACAUAGGAAAGCCGAAUUGCAUAAACAAUCAAUGUAUCCCCUAUUUUAUUCAUGUUUAUCACAAUGUUUGAAGGAGUGCUCACUCUUUUAGGGCGUGUUUACCAUUGAGGUUGAAAAGUAUCAUUAAACCCAAACAAUUAUUUCAAACCAAACAUUAAUUUUAAACUAGGAUUUUAGGCCAACCCAAAACUUCUAGCUUUUACUUUUUGGAAAGGUGCUUUUCAAUUAAAAACCUUUUUAUUCCUCGUUAAACUUUCUACUUUAUAACAUAAUGUCUAAAAUGGAAAUUUUAUUUUUCUAAAAACACUUAUAGACAACAAUAAUAAUUACUAUUAAUUUUUUCAAAAUCACUUUUCUACGGCACUGUUAAACUUAAAUGAUAAUCUAGCCUUUUAACCACUCUUUUCUAACAGAGAGCUUAUCUCUUAGCAAUAGUUUGGGCAAACAAAAAUAAUGUAUAUAUGAAAACGAAUAUUGAAUUUGAAUGUACAAUCAAUUUUCUGAAUAAUUAAUUAAAAAGAAUGUUUGAAUUCAAAAAUUUUAAAAAUUUUGAUAAAAAAUGUGGAAGCGCAGACUUGUGUGAUGAAUAGUAAUGAUAAUAAUGAUAGAAGCUGUUUCCUGGCACGAGGAACUUAUGGAAUUCGUCCAUUUGGUUCUAUAUUAGCCCUGUUGCUUCCGUGUUUAAGAGUAAAACGACAAAAUAUUAAGUAGAAAACACCAAACGAAUUGAACUAUUUUCUUAAGAUGGUGUCGGUAAUGUAUCUGUGGAUACCCAUUUGAAUUUUUAAAAAACUGAAAAAAUUAAUUUAUUUUUUAGAUUGAAUCAGCAGCAGGAAAAUAAGAAAAAAUACAACUUUGAGUUUGAGUUUGGAACUCUGAGAUUUCGCUCGGUGAUCUGAAUGGUGAGGUGGUAUGUUUAAAUACGGAGAAUAAUAUAUAUUCGACUAGCAACAAUCUGAUGGAGUGAAAUAGGAACUGAAAAAAAGGGUAAUUUAAAGUUUUGGUCAUUGUUUUAAAAGAUUACCUUCAGUCAUUAUAUUUUUCAGUUUUGGAAUUCCAGUACUACUUAAAUUGUAAUUGUUAAAUCUAUUUACUAUAAUGAUAUAAAAUUUUUAUGAAUAUUAACACUAUUAUUUUUUUUAAAGCACUUAUUCAUGGCACAAGGAACUUAUGAUGAAUAGUAAUGAUAAUAAUGAUAGAAGUUGUUUUUCUGGCACAAGGAACUUAUGAUGAAUAGUAAUGAUAAUAAUGAUAGAAGUUGUUUUCCUGGCACAAGCAACUUAUGGGAUUCGUCCAUUUGGUUCUAUAUUUCUCCGCUUGCUUGAGCGUUUAAGAGUUAAAGGACAAAUUAUUAAGUAGAAAACACCAAACGAAUUGGAAGGCUUUUGUCUUCUUCAAUUGGUAUGACCUAUAUUUCUUAUUAAACUUCGUAUUUUACAUUCAAUAUCAUCAUCACAAUCAUUUUAAUUUAUUUUCAUGAAUAAACUUUUAUGUCUCAUUUUAAUUGAAUCAUUAAAAUUUAUUAAUUGAAUUUUUUUUUAAGAUGGUACCGUUAAUGUGUCAAGUGAUAUCAAUUUAAAUUUUUAAAAAAAGUUGUUUGAAUUAAUUUGAUUUCAUUCGGUAAUCCAAACAGUGAGAUAGUGUGUUUAACUACGGGGAAUAACAUAUAUCCAAAUGGUGACAAUCUGGUGGAGCGAAACAGAUAUCGAAGAAAGAGUAGUUUAAUGAAUUUGGAGUCGACUUCUGGAAAAUCUGAAUUAUAGAAGUGAACGAAGAGGAAAUCUCUUCUUUGGUGCCGUAAUCGACAUAAACGGCCAUUAUGAAUGGCAACAUCGAUAAUUAUUGAGUACAAUGAUUAAAAUUUUCAGUUAAAAAAAAGGAAUGGAAAGGAAAACAAAAAGAAAAACGUGGAAAGAAAGAAAGAAUAAUAAUAAUUAAUUAAUAAAUAAAAAGAGAAUUGUGGGGGCGAUGCUUUUGAACAAAUCUUGAUUUAAACUAUGUAAAGAAAAUAUGCGUUAUAUAUAUAAUUAAUUAUGCACUUAUACUUAAUAUAUUAUAUAUUUAAUGUCAUAUUUUCAUAUUCUCGGGAAGUGGUAAUAUACAAGUACUUGAUUUGAUUUAUUUCUUGAUCGCUUCGUGAAUUUUAUGUUUGUAACAAUAGGGACAGAAUUUCUUCAAUUCCAAUCGACUGGGCGUAUUGUGUCAAUUUUUUUUGAGUAAUAUACCUAGAAAUACCCGUUGAUUCCUUAUAAACGCCGUUUCAAACACAACUGGUACACCCCAAAAUAACCGUUACUCAGACAUCUUUACUAUUGACCAUGAACCUCCUUUGAGUUUUUAAUUCACCUAACUUUUCUAUUUUUCAAUCAAAAGCGAAGAAGAAAGGAAUGAAAAAAAGAAAGAAAUCAAAGUUGCUAACUCAAAACAAAUCCUGACAAUUUUGGUUGCAAUCAAUAUAGCAAGUCAAUAUAAAUUUAUAGUAAUAGCAAAUAAUAAGAAUAAGUAAUACAACGAUUUCUAACUCUAUUUAGAAUCAAAUCAGAGUAUGGUAUUUUCUUUAAUCAAUUAAUUGAAUUCAAAAUAUUCAAUUAAAAUAAAUUAAAUUGUAUAAAUUUUAUAAUUUUAAAUUAUUAUUUUUGUAUUAAUUUAAAACAAAAUAAAUAUUAUAUACAAUAAUUUAGUUGCAGCAUGUCAGCUUGAAGUCCAAGACCUUAUAACAUAUAAAUUUAAUAGAUAAUUAAUAACUAAAAAAUUAAAUAGCAAAAGCAUAAUUGCGCCACUUCUCACCAUUUUAGUGUAUGCAACUUAUUAUAUAUUUAUAUAUAUUAUCAUUUCAUUUUAAAUAAUUUAAUUUUUAUAUUAAUUUUUAUAAAUUUAGGGAUAAAUCUUAAAAUUAUACAUAAACUUUAAUUUAAUGUGUAAUUGCAUACAUAAACUUUAAUUUGGUACAAUUAUACACAUGAUACUCUAAUUGUGGUUCAAAUACAUACUUGAAACUUUAAUUUUGAUUUAAUCAUACACAUUUAAAUAAAUAAAUACAUCAAUUUAUUUUUAUAUUGGGUAAAUAUAUUUAUGUAUGCAAUAUAUAACAUAAAAUGAUGUUAUAUCAAUAAUUGUGUUAAUAAUUUUCAAGAAUUGGAUCAAAUCAAAAUUUCAUGUAUAAAAUUGCACAAAAUCAAAGUUCAUGUAUACAAUUGCACAUUAAACCAUAAUUCAUGUACAGUUUUAGUAUUUAUCCCAUAAUUUAUUAAAUAAACUUUUUACCUAUAUCAUAUAUAGAGUUGUCUGUGAACCGAGCCAAGGAAUGCCCGCUCGAAAAAAUGAGGGUUUAAGAAAAAAAAUAUGCCCAAAAAAAGGGCUUGGAUAAAAAGACAAGGCCCGUUUAGAAAAUGAAUCGGGCCUUUGCUAAGGUUUUUUUUGUCCAAGCUCAGCCCGACCCAAAUUUUCAAUAAAAAAACCCUACUGUUUUUACCGCUAUUUUUUCAUAUUUUGGUGUUGUUUUCUCACUUUUUGCCACUGGUUUACUAUCAUUUCACUAUUAUGUUACUACUAUUUUUUUUGUUAAUGUUUGGAUAUUGUAUAACACUUGUUUUAUUGUUAAUUUUGUCACUAUUUUAGAGGCAUUUGUUUGUUAUGUUGUACUUAUCUUAGUUUUUAUUUAAGUAUAAAAAAUUUUUAAAUUCUAUUUUCAAUUUAUUGGAAACAUGUAAUUUAAUAUUUGUAGUAUAUUUGGUGUAUUAUAAUAAUAUUUAUUAUUAAAAUAUUAAUAUUGAAUAUUUUCAAUAAUAUGUGAAGAAUAUUAUUUAAAAUUAUUUUUUAAAAUUUAUUAUUAAAUUAAAAUUGAAAUAUUAAAUAAUUUAUUAAAAUAAUUAAUUAUAUUAAUAAUUAAUUAUAUGACUAAAUAUAAAUAAUUAAAUAUGUAUGUUUAAUAAUAUUGAAAAAUAUAAUAUUUUAUAUUAAUAUUUUAAAUAUUUUUAAAAAUAAAAAUAAAAGUUAUUUUUAAUAUAAUAAUAUUAAGCUUGAUUUAAAUUAAUUUUUAUAUAAAAAUAAAAUUACCUAUAGAUGAGCUCAUUUUUUAGAAAAUGACUUACACUUUUCAAAAUGAUAAGUCAUUUUAUAGGAAAAAGAGCUAAUUUUACGUUGACCUAUAAGUCAUUUUCCGUUGACCAAACUGUUUUCUGUAAAACAAACAUAGAAAAAUGCAGAAAAUAGUUUCCGUAAAACUUUUUACAUGUAAACAAAUGGACCCUUAAUUCAAGCUUAUUCCAACAUAACCCACUUCACUAUUAGCAUGACUCUCCCUUAUACUAAAUUUAACCAUUAACCCUUCUCAUGAUUUCUAACAAAAAUUUUCAAGUUCUCUUUAAUGGCAACUUGUAUUAACUUCAACAAUAAGAAAUUCUAACUAUGGGGUUGGUUGUAUCAAGUUUCAUAGUUUAAAAAUCUAUAAAAAAAUUAUUGAGAAAAUAAUUUGUUUACCUUUGAUGGCCUUGAUGGAGAACAACUUGGUUUCUUCUUCUACUUAGUUUAAAGAAUGCAUGAAGAAGAAGAAGAUUUCCCCUCUCCCACUAUUUUAAAUAUAUAUAUAAAUAACCUAUUAAUCAAGGUAAUUAAGUCACUAAUUAACCUUAAUUAGUUAUGAUCUAAUGGCCAUAAACUUAUCAUGAGAAAAUUAGUGGAAAUGUGCGGCAUUGAUAAUGGUUUGCCAAUAAUCAAACUUUGGGCAUGGUAAUAUUGCAAUCAGGUUUUUGGUAUAAUUACACUUUUAAGUACUUGCUAAAUUCUGUAAUCAAUUCCCACUAGUUGGGUCACUUGAACAAUUGGGUCCAUGUACUAUAGUUACAACUUAUCCAAUUUAAUCAAUUAAUGAUUUGACUUUAUAAUUUCAUGUACAACACACAAACUCCUCUAGUAAAUUCUCGAGCUAGCUUUAUUUAAAAAUUUGGCCUCAAAAAUAGCUUUCCAAAUGUUCAUGAAAAUUGAGUCGUUACAUAUGGUAUUUGUUUUGUUCAGCUUAUUUGUCAGGCUCUAUAUCCUUUGAACUUAUGUUCGUUGACUUUGGUGUUGCUUAAAUGAAAAUGUGGUGAACAAUCUUAUGGAUAGGAGGAGUGUAUGAUUGAGUAUGUGUAACACCCUUAACCCACAUCCUUCGCCGAAUUAGAGUGACAGAGUGUUACUUGUAACACCCCAAACCCAGCCUAAACGUUAUGGUCGUAUCUGGCAAUGUCACACAAUAGUGUUUUUGAAACCUCGUUGUUACGUUGAAAACAUUUCAUGUUAUUAUCUUUAGUAAACAUUUGUUAGAACUUAGGAAGUCGUCUUUAUUCAUUUAAAACAUUUGUUUUGAAACAUCCCUCGUUGCGGAAGCUUUAAUAAAACAGUCUAAGUGAUCAUGCGUUUAGAAACUAUUUUAAUUUUUUGAAAACUGAAUUUCCUACGACCAACAGGUAUAAAUCCAUAAAGUAAAAUAAAUAAAUAAAAACCCAAAAUUUAAAACCAAAGUCCCAGAAGGUCCUUAAAUUACAACCCAAAUAAUCAAUAAUAAUUAAAUCAUAAAACGUAAAUUGAAAACCAUGAAGUCCAAAAAUUACUGUGGUCACCGCUGAGUCCUCCGUCGCACCGAUUCGUCUAAGUCUGGGGAUUACCUGUGCACGUUAAACAAAAAGGGUGAGUUUACGUAAAUUCAGUGUGUAGUCCCGCAGAAACAAAUAAACAAUCAGUAUUCACAGUGCACAGUUGAACAGUCUUGGGCCCAAGCCCAUCUCAGUACAAUGUCAAAAAUGCAGUAGCAGAAUCCUACCCAACCAACCUCCACACACUAUCUCCGCCCAACCCUACACUCCAUGUGGGGAUAUAAUCAACCCACCCAUCCCUACACUCCAAGUAGUACCGAAUGCGGCACAAAACAGUAGUUUGCAGCUGAGCUGCCAGUAAAUUAGGCUUAAAGCCUUUCAGUACACUUCCUCUGAAUAACAACCCCCAACCCGAUGCAAUGCAACAUACAAUAGAUGAUAUGCUAUUAUGCAAUUUCUGUACAUAUAUUUGGUUCAGAUAUUAACAUGCCCAGUAUAGAUAUCAUUCAGUCAAUUUCACACAUUUAGGGGUCUAAGUAGCGCUUACCGACCUUACAGUAGGUUCACAGUUGACUUGGGUGACCCGUACAACCUUAGAAACAUUCCGGUAAAAUUGGGCUACAUGCCCGUGUGUGCCCGUGUGGCCCACUCGGCCCAAUUUGGCCUUGGUCGUGUGAUCCAUUUUUAAUGUAACCCAUGCUAGCUAAAUAUUCAUAUAUGUUUUCACUAUUUACUUAUAUGUUCAUUUAAAGUUGUCUACUUGAGUCAUUGUCACUAAAUUAUUUAUACCUUGAGCUACAGAAUUCCAAAUUAAGAUCCGCUUGAUGUUUUCAAAACUAUACUCAAAUACCUUUCUACCAUAAAAUUUUCAAAUUUUAUAGUUUACCAAAUAAGUACAGUAAAAUCUUCAAAUUUAUCCCAAUUCUGCUAUUUGAUAGCUUCAACGUUUCCUUACUAAAAAUUAUUUAUCUCUUAGUACGGAAUUCGGAUGAUGUUUCCUUUGUUUCUCUUGAAAAUAGACUCGUUAAGGAUUUAAACAUAUAAAUUUAAGCCCCUAAUUAUUUUUUAAAAUUUUCGAUGAUUUUUCCAAAAUCAGAACAAGGAACCAAAACCCAUUCUAACAUUGUCUCACAAAAUUCAUUAUAUCUCAUAACUUAAAAUUUCAUUGCUUACACAGUUUCCUUCAUGAAAAACUAGACUCAAUAAAAUUUAAUAUCAUAUUUUAUUCAACCUCUAACUCAAUUUCCCCUAUUUUUGAUGAUUUUUCAAAGUUAGACUACUACUGCUGUCCAAAACUAUUUUAAUGCAGAAUGUUGAUUUCCAAGUUUAAAACACCCUUAUUUCCUUUCUCUACAAUUUUUUGCAUCAUUUUCUCUUAUUUCUCGUAUUUCUCGAUAGCAAGCAAUUUCAGCUUUUCGUUGAAUCCCAUUUUCUGCAUUUUGGGUACACACCUGGUAUCGUUUCUGAUGCGUAAGCACUCUUAAGCCUCCAGAACCUAAAAAUCGACCAAUAAAUCUCCAAAUUAAUCACUUAAUUCAUUUUUAAUCAACCAAUUUUGGAAGGAACUCGACUAAAAAAACCUAACAAAACCCUUACCUUGCUUCAGUAACCACGACUUCGCACAAUCAUAGUGUCGAUUCAAAACCACCAACCCCUUGAUUAACUCAUAAACACCAAAAAAGAAACCCCUUUUCAGAGAUUAACCAAGAACGAUUAACAAUAGAAAAAACUGUUACUUACCGAACACACGCAACCAACGAUGAACAACCAAAUCAAUUGGAAAAUAAUGAAAGAAAAGGAAGAGAAAAAAAUAAUGGAAAUUUCGGCAGCAACUAGGGGAAAGAAUCGGUAGAGGAGAGAAAAAAGAAGAAAAAAUCAGAAAAAGUUUGGGUAAUUGGAGAGAAAACCAAAACUCUACUUUUUUUUCUACAACAAAAAGAUAAUCAGAUUAUUUUCUGAUAACCUCUCCCCCAUUAUCUCCUAAAAUCACUCCUUAUUAACCCACUAAAACACAACUACUCAGAAUUUUACCCCAACACAACUCUUAGCCAAAAUUGGAGCAAAAAUACUGUCUCUACGCCAUCAUAGAGAAUUGAACAUAAGACCUCCUUCACACCAACACUCCAUUUAUCCACCAGACCAGCAAGCCCAUUCUGUUAAUUAUUUGUCAUCUUUUACUUAAAAGCCUACUGACCAAAGAUAGGGCUUAUUCAUAAAAAUACCAAAAUUUUCCCAAAACCUGGCUUGAACUUGGGACCUCUCACACACCCAAAACACUUAACCACUAAAGCAGAUACACAAUUGUGUCACACCUUCGUAAGAACAAAAAUAAAAAUUUUGGGACGUUACGUUACUAUACAAAAUAGAACAUUUCAUGACAACACAUAAAUAAUUAUGCAAAUUAUCACAAUCAUUAAUUAACCAUAUUAAAAUAUAACAUAAAUAUCCAUACGACCUUUAAAUCGAGCUUAUAUGUCCCUAAAAAUAGCUUGAGAUCAAUCUAGGAUCAAUUUUGAACAAAAACAUAAAUUUUAAAAAAACCCUAAAAAUUUUGGAAAACAUGGGUCACACAGCCGUGUGUCCAGGCCAUGUGACAUAGCCCAGACCUUGUGGGCAUUCAAAAUCAGGUAACGCAGUCAUGUCCCAGCCCGUAUGUCUACUUGUGUGAAUAUUCGAAAUAGGGUCUCACGGUCGUGUCGAGGAUCGUAUGCUAAACCGUGUGUAUAUUCAAAUUAUGGACACACGGCCGUGUCGCAGGCCAUGUGCUAGACCUUGCUCAAAACUAUUUUGAGACACACAGCUGUGUCUUAGACUGUGUGAAAUUUUCACUUUAAACAACAACACACAGCCGUAUCCUAAGCCGUGUGCACCAAAAUGUACCUUAAAAAUCAAAUUUACCAAAACAUGUUUACUUAGGCAUCAAGCAACCUAAUUACCAUCAAUUAAACUCAUUCAAAACACGAUUAAACAUGUUCAAAAUAUCCAUCCUAAGUUCCUAACCAUUGUGCCCUCAUUGACACCAUAAUUCAAUAAUCAAAUCAAUCACAUUUAAACCAAGAUUUAAACAUUCAAAUUAUAAAAUCACCAUUAACCAUUCAUACCAAAACACUACUCAUUUCAAGUCAUAAACACCUAGCAAUAUUCACAUACUUUAUAAAGCUUAACUACCAAUACCAAAUAAGAUCCAUACACACAUACAUACCAAACAAAACACAUAUUCACAAGUAUCAUUCAAGGUUUACAACUUUACAUGUAAUUAACAUGAUUUCAAGUCACUUAUUACAUGUCAUAUAACCCAAAACAAACAUUAAACAAACUACCAAUAGUUUCUCGAAUAGUUGAUUCUUGAUCUUGAUCUAUAAUAUAAUUUAUUUCAAUUAUUAGCCUCAAUUUUCAUAUUCUAAUCAUUUCAAUACAUAUGAUCUCUUGUUUACAAAUUUACAUAAUUACCCUAAAUUUUUACACAUUAUUCAAUUUAAUCCCUAUGACCAAAUCAAGCUUAGUUCUACAAUUAAAUUCUCAAUCCAUAGAACUAAAUUUUAACCACAUCCAAAACAAUUCAUAUAUGCUAAAAUUUUCAAGAGUAACAUGUCUAUUUCAAUUAAAUCACUAAACAUCAAAAUUUGUAAAAAUCACUUUACAAACUCAAUACAUAUCAUCACCAAGCUUCAACCCAAACUAUUUAAUAUUACAAAUCUUCAAAAUUUUCAAUACAUAAUUUCUAUACUUUGAUAACUUCACAAAUAAACUCCAAAACUAGCUAAAUUCCAUUAUCAAUAGCUCAAAACUUAAAUUUUAUGAUAAAUAAACCAAGAAAAUACUUACAUGCAUUAAAAACUAUCAAAAACCAAGCUCCCAAGCCUUAGAACAAAGGUGUUUCGGCCAAACCUAAGAAAAAUAAAGAAGAUGACCACUACCCCACUUUUGUUUUACUUUCUUUUUAUUAUUAUUAUAAUGUUUAUUUAUGAAAUUAUAACAUUAUCAAACACCAAUUUGAUAUUGUUUUUCUCUCUUUACCGCCCAUAUUAACUAACUAUGGGCUAAUGGCAACAUAACCCCCCUUAGUUUACUAAUUUAAGCUGUUAUAUUAAAAUAAAUCAAUAAUAAGCAACUUUUCCACCUAUUACAAAUUAAUCCUUUUUCUUUAAUCAAUUCACUAUACGUUAAAUUUUCUAAACCAAAACUUAAUAUAACACUGAUGACUUUGUAAAUAUUAAAUAAUUAAUAAUUUUAGAUUGACACGUCGAAAUUGUGGUCCUAAAAUCAUUAUUUUCAACACCACUAGAAAUCGGACUGUUAUAGUAUGGUUCUACCUCUUAGGGGGAGAUGUAUUCUAGUUUCCUUUCACUUGUUUAGAUGAUGUGUUAAUCAUUUGCUAUUGGUUUUGUCAAAAUGCCAAAUGGUGAGAUUGUUUGAACUUUGACUUCUUUUCUUAUUUCACUUCAUGUUCGAAGAGUAGAUUAAACCAUGCUUUGAUGCAUUCAAAGAAUUUAUGUUGGUAUAUUUGAUUUUAUAAUGAAAUGGCUUAUAGUUUAAUCUCGUUGAGUAGCAAAUGGGGAAGUGAUUUUGUAUUAUAACAUGUGAUGAUCAUUAUCUUUCAAUCAACUACCUUGGAAAAGAACGAGAGGAGUUUGAACUUUUGGGGACUUUCGUAAUAUUUGAAGCUGCUGAGAUAUUUGUUUAUAAAGACUUUUAUUUAUCAUUAAUCAAAAUAAUUCAUGAGAUAAUUUCAACCUUUAUAUUGGAGUUCUAAACUUAUGAAGACUCUAUUAUUGGCCUAUAAAUAGGCAUAAUUACCGCACAUUGAAAAUAGGCUUUUGGAGGGUUUGGAUACUUUGGUGAAUUUUUCAUUGGGCUAUAAAUAGGCAUAAUUACCGCACAUUGAAAAUAGGCUUUUGGAGGGUUUAAGUUGGAUACUUCAGUAAAUUUUUCUUGUGUUUUAUACCACACUCUUUUUAAGUUUUAUUGGAGAUAUUUAUUUGAUUGUAAGUGAGGUAUUUUGGAGAGAAUGAUUUAUAAUAAUUUAGGUUCAAUAUUAAAGUUGCAAAUAAUUACGGGUAAAAGUAAUUUGGACUGUAGUCAAUAGUUGAUCAAGACGAAUUGUAAAUUAAAAUUAUUUUCUAAGUAAAAUUCUACAAAAUAAAACUGGUAAAUUCAAACUGCGUUAAUAAAUAUUACAUAUUAUCUUUCCUUACUUUACUCGUUGCUUUACCUUAUUUUAAAAUUGUUUUGUUAUAAUCUAUUAUGUUUGAACCUUUUCGAUCGAAAUAAAAAAAAUGAGAUUGAAAUUGUGAUAAAGCUAAAAAAAGGUUACAACAAAUAUGAUUAAUAUUAUUUUUUAUAUAUACUUAAUAAAAGUUAAAAAGGGAAUUCCAUUUAUUGAAUAUUAUUUUAUUUAAUAAAAUAUAUUUUAUAUAUUUUAUAUAAAAUUUAAACAUUUUAUUGUUUGUUAGUUAAAUUUUAUUAUUUUUAUUUUCUUUAUGAAUAAAAAUAAUUUUCCUAAAAUAUGAGAUAAAAAAUGUUAUAGAGAAUUAAAUUAAUAAAAAGUACAGUUCAUACUUUAUAAUUAUUAUAAAUGAAAAAAUAUUAUGAAAAAAUAUUAAACAUAAAAAAUUAAUUCUAAAAUAAACUUAACUAUAAUAAAAUAAUUUUAUAUAAAAAAAGAAAUUAUAGAAAAGACUUAUUGAAUAUAUUUCCAAUUUUCGACAUUCAUAAAACAAAAAAUAAAAAAAGUGGUUCUAAUAAUUUAUUUAUACAAAAAAAAAAAAGUGGUCCUGACGUUCAUCCUUUCCCAUCUCUAUAAAUUUGCAUGCAGAACUAAAGCAACACAUAUCAACACAAUCUGUAUAACCAUGAAAACCACAACAGCUUCGGUGUUUCUUCUUUUCAUCAUCUUCUCAAUCACACCAUCGUCCUUUUCGUUUGGUGUGGCCAACUCUACAAACGCUCCUGUGCUCGACAGUGAUGGCAACGAGCUCCGCACGGGCACCCCAUACUUCGUUGUGUCGUCGAUAUGGGGUGCUGGUGGUGGGGGGCUUGCCCUAGGCAUGCCUAGCGGAAACCCAUGCCCGGAAGUCGUUGCUCAAAGAGGAUCCGGUGACGAUGGUAUUCCGGUGAUAUUUUCUAAUUCGGACUCCAACGAUGGCGUUGUUCGCCUAUCCUCUGACAUAAACAUAGAGUUCAUUCCCCUCAGACCCAAACUUUGCCGAACAACAACGGUGUGGAAGGUCGAUGAUUACGACCACUCAGCCGGAAAAUGGUGGGUGAUAACCGAUGGGGUUAAAGGGAACCCGGGUGCCAACACUUUGACCAGUUGGUUUAGAAUAGAGAAGUUGGGUGAUCUUGAUUACACAUUUAAGUACUGCCCCGCAGUAUGUGGAACAUGCCCAGCUUUAUGCAACGAAAUUGUGAGAGACUCAGAUGGAGAAAUGAUACGUUUGGCUCUCUCCAAUGGCCAUGGAUGGCAAUUUUACUUUAAGAAAGUUGAAACAUCAGCCAUGGAGAUUCAACAAGUUCAUAAUUAGAUUGAAAGCAAUCAUUAUGCAUGAACUAGUAGUUACUAUACAUUAUUACCUUCAAGUAAAUAAUGCCGAGAGAACUGAUUGUUAAUUAAGAUUGCCUUGUUUGAAGCAGCAGCAUGAAUAUAUAUAUAUGCUUGCUUACAAGGUUUGUCUCUCAGAGUCCUUCUCUUUGUACUCUUUCCAGCUUAAUGUAUAAACUGUCUACUUAUUUACUUCUUUUAUCGCCAUUGAUUCUAGUAGUAUUAGACUCAUUAACUUGGAUACAUUGUCUUGUAAUUAACCCAAAAAUUAUAUAUAUAUAAAAAAAGAGUGAGAGAGGAAAAUAGACUACCAAGUAACAAGCGAAAAACGGUAAUACUAGGGUUAUUUAGAGUGGUUUCAAUGCACAACGGGAAUGAAUUGUCGUUGGUUGGGUGGUUAGGGCACCUUACUUAUCUUUAGAGCUAAAGAAGGUUUCGUAACUACUCUUUCAAUAAUAUUAUUUUUAAGGUUCGAACCUGCAUUAUCCUUUGAACACGUAAUAUGUUUUAUCAUUACGCUCAACAUUAUUAAUGAUUUACUUUAUUCUAUUCUUAAUUAAUAAUUAUGAUAUAUAUUAAGUUUAAGAUGAAUUUUCUUAUUCAUGUAUAUCAAUUAAAUCAAAUAUUUGUAUUUAAAGUUUUAACCCAACAUUAACUUCUUCUUUUUUUUAUUUCUUUCUUUGUUGGUGAUGAUUAGGAGAUUGAUGGCCGGUCUUUGUGGUUGGUAGCUUUUAACACAAUGGCAAAGCCAAGGAGGCUUUAAAUGUUUAAAUGGAUUUUUUUUUCAUUUAAACUUCUUUAUAAUUUAUAAAAUUUUAAAUUAAUAAUGAUAAAAUUACAUUUUAAUCUUUUAAAAAUAAUAAAAAUGUGGAAGCACAUUUGUACGAUUAAUAAUAAUGAUAAGAUUUUUCCCACCACAUGGAAAUUUAUGGAAACGUCAUUGGGUUUUGUAUUUAUGUUUUAUUUGACACUCUUUUAAGUUUUAUUGGGAAGAUUUGCUUGAUUGUAAGUGAGGUAUUUUGGAGAGAAUGAUUUGUAACAAUUUAGAUUCAAUAUUCGAGUUGCAAAUAAAUAUAGAGUAAAGUAAUUUGGGCUUAGUGAAUUAUAGAAUAAAAUCAUAUUCUAAACAAAAUUUUAUAAAAUAAAAUUAAUGAAUCCUAACUAAGUUAACAAAUAUUUCUUCACUCUAGGCAUUGCUUCACCUUAUCUCAAAAUUGUUCUGUAAUAAUCUAUUUUGUCUCGACCUUUCCAACAGAAUUUAAAAUGAAACUAUUUCUGAUAAGUGCAGGCCAAAAACUUUUUCGCGUACCAAUAAAUGGCAAGCGACCAUACUGUGGGCCCAAUGUCCCAACAAUCAUCUAAACAUUUUUUUUAAUAAUAUGUAAUAAUUUAUAUACCAUAUAUGAAUAUUAAUUAAAAUAAUAUAAUAUGGACCCAAAUUGUUUCAUAUUUGAAAUCCAAUUUUUGAUAAUUUCACAUUUCAUAUUUUAUCUUAGAACAAAAAAAAUAUAUUUGAACUUAAUAUUUGGCCUAUUAAUCAAUGGUGUUUACUAUAUUUUAAGACUAUCGAAUUAAUCUAUCGACACUACUUGUAUGGUAUAAUUUAAAUGGGUGUGUGUGGGUAUAUAAAUUUGAAAUUCUAUUGUAUCAAAGAAAAAUUUAGAAAAAAAUAAAAAAAAAAAAGAAUUUGCAAUUUAUAAUUUGAGAUAAAAAUAAAAAAAUGAGAUUUGUGAUAAACCAUAAAUUAAGCUCAAAAAAAGUUACAACAAAUAUGGUUAAUGUUAUUUAUAUAUAUACUUAAUAAAAGUAAAAAUAUCGAAAUUCCAAUAUUAUUUUUAUUUAAUAAAAUAUAAUUAAUAUAUUUUAUAUAAAAUUUAAAUAUUUUAUUGAAAUAUUAUGUUAGGUAAAUUUAUAAAUAAAAUUAAUUUUACUAAAAUUUGAGAUAAGAGAAUUAAAUUAAUAAAAGGCAUAUUUCAUAUUUUAUAGUUAUUAUUAAUAAAAAAUUAUUAUAAAAAUAAAAAAUCAAUUCUACAACAUAAUGAAAUAUUUUUAUUAAAAAAACCAGAAAUGAUUGAUGGAAUAUAUUUCCAAUUUUCGACGUUCAUAAAAAAAAAAAGAGUGGUCCUAAUAAUUUAUUUAUUGGGAAAAAAAAAGUGGUCCUAUUAAUUUACCUCACAUUUGAAAUGUGUUAUAUGUAAUAAUAAUAAUAUCUAUAUAAAUUUUGGACGUUGAUCCUUUCCCAUCUCUAUAAAUUCGCAUGGAGAACUAAAGCAACACAUAUCAACACAAUUUAUAUAACCAUGAAAACCACAACAGCUUCGGUGUUUCUUCUUUUCAUCAUCUUCUCAGUCGCACUAUCGUCCUUUUUGUUUGGUGUAGCCAACGCUACAAACGACCCUGUGCUCGACAUUGAUGGCAACGAGGUUCAAACUGGCACCCCAUACUACGUUGUGUCGUCGAUAUGGGGUGCUGGUGGUGGGGGGCUUGCCCUAGGUAGGCCUAGAGGAAAGCCAUGCCCGGAAGUCGUUACUCAAAGACGAUCCGGUGACGAUGGUAUUCCGGUGAUAUUUUCUAAUUCGGACUCCAACGAUGGCAUUGUUCGCCUAUCCUCUGACAUAAACAUAGAGUUCAUUCCCCUCAGACCCAAACUUUGCCGAACAACAACGGUGUGGAAGGUCGAUGAUUACGACCAUUCAGCCGGAAAAUGGUGGGUGAUAACCGAUGGAGUUAAAGGGAACCCGGGUGCCAACACUUUGACCAGUUGGUUUAGAAUAGAGAAGGUGGGUGAUUUAAGUUACAAAUUUAAGUACUGCCCCACAGUAUGUGGAACAUGCCCAGCUUUAUGCAACGAAGUUGGGAAAGACUCAGAUGGAGAAAUGGUACGUUUUGCUCUCUCCACUGGCCCUGGAUGGUCAUUUUACUUUAAGAAAGUUGAAAAAUCAGCCAUGGAGAUUGAACAAGUUGUUCAUAUUUAGAUUGAAAGCAAUCAUUCUGCAUGAACUAGUAGUUAUUAUAUAAUAUUAGCUUCAAGUAAAUAAUGCUGAGAGAACUGAUUGUUAAGAUUGCCUUGUUUGAAGCAGCAGCAUGUAUAUAUAUAUAUGCUUGCUUACAAGGUUUGUCUCUCAGAGUCCUUCUCUUUGUACUCUUUUCAGCUUAAU